UCACUUUACUCAUUCUACUACAAUUUAUAUUUUAAUUCUUUGUAUGUUCUAUCUUCCAUGACUUCUACCAAGUUUUGCAAUAUAGUAUUAGAGCCAUGGCACCCACUUUGAACAUUAUGCAUUCCAUGUUUGUUUCUAACCUUCAUUGUAUUCAUUUUUCAAUUUCUCAAGAAAAUUUUGCCAACUUUUCGUUCUCCGAUCUUAUGUUCAGUAUUUUUGCUCCUAUUUCAGAUUUCAUUUUUUUGACUUUUAUCAGGUCUAUCAAUCUAUCAGUCUUUAUUGUAAAAUGUUCUAAAGCAAUUACCAAUUUUUCGUGCUUGUUCUCUUUAAGUCACUUUCUAUAUCAUCCAUCUUUUCAUGUGCAUUCAGUACAAGGGUUGUUCCUCUUCUAUAAUGUGGUGGGUGUGAAUCCUAUUGGAAUUGUUGAGAAGCCUUUGUUAUGCGGUUAAACAUGUUUGCUUUUGUUAUGUGAUUAAAUCUUGAGGUAUGGUUUCUACUCGAUGGUUAAGUAGCUACCUCUAUUGGUUUAUUCUGACAGUUUUGGCUUUUGCUUUAAGGUUGUUAAGCAUUUUUCAUUGUCUUUCUGCUUAUGCUAAGUGAUUAAACUUAGAGGUAUAGUUUCUAAUUGGUAUUUAAGCUUUUAUCGUAUGACUUUUAUGACUUUAACUUCUGCUUUGUGUAGUGUUUAAGGUUUUUUUUAAUAUCCUUUUUCAGACGAUGUACUUUUGGCAUUUGCCUUUGAAUAUCUCUUAGAUUUCUUUUGUUUGUACUUGUACUGUUCAUCUCAAGCUAGAAGUGGUGUGAACACCUUCCAGCUCGCCGGGAGUUAUUAGCUUUUAGAAAAGGCCUGAUGUAAUCCCUUAACUGAUUCUAACACAAUUUAUAUUUUUUCAGUCUUUGUAUUUUCUCUCUAACAAUUCGAACAAACUGCUAUUUUGUACGAUCCGCGAUUAACAACACUGCUCAAAACUUUGCCAAAACCAAACAAUUCUUAAACUCACUAAUAGCAGCUUGAUGCAAAAACAUCAAUUCACUCAAAACAUUUCAGCCAUUCCUGAUAAAAUAGCACAACAUCAUUAGGUAGGAAAGUCAUUAUACUUGGGGAAAUUGAUCACAUUGUUUUUUGGGUGUAAACCAGGUAUCCUCUGCGCGUUGUCGGACCCAAAUGGGUAGCAGAGAGUUUUAAUGUUGUUGUAUGCCCAAACAAGGGAUCAAACUCAUGACCUUGGUUAAGCUAGAAGAGACCAUGCCAUCUGAUCUAAGCGCUAUUGGGUAAAAUUUACUAUCUCAUUUAGUUCAGCAUGGAAAAUCAAAAUCUAUCUGAUCAUUUAACUGCU
rnacentral:lncRNA from 1 species